rnacentral:rRNA from 1 species
AUUGAACGCUGGCGGCAUGCUUUACACAUGCAAGUCGAACGGUAACAGGGAGCUUGCUCCGCUGACGAGUGGCGAACGGGUGAGUAAUGCGUCGGAACGUGCCGAGUAGUGGGGGAUAACGCAUCGAAAGGUGUGCUAAUACCGCAUACGUACUGAGGUAGAAAGUGGGGGACCUUCGGGCCUCACGCUAUUCGAGCGGCCGACGUCCGAUUAGCUAGUUGGUGAGGUAAAGGCUCACCAAGGCGACGAUCAGUAGCGGGUCUGAGAGGAUGAGCCGCCACACUGGGACUGAUACACGGCCCAGACGCCUACGGGAGGCAGCAGUGGGGAAUUUUGGACAAUGGGCGGAAGCCUGAUCCAGCCAUGCCGCGUGUCUGAAGAAGGCCUUCGGGUUGUAAAGGACUUGUGUCCGGGAGCAAAUGCCUGGUGUUAAUAGCACUGGGAGCUGAGAGUACCGGAAGAAUAAGCACCGGCUAACUACGUGCCAGCCGCCGCGGUAAAAC